GUUGUCACUCGAGGACACCUAAUAAAUUUGGAACGAAUGUAGAGAAGAUUAUCGUGCCUUUUGCACAAGGAUGACACGUGUACAUUGAGGAAUGAUCCAAAUUAUU